GACAGAGGGUGCAAACGUUGUUCGGAAUUACUGGGCGUAAAGCGCGUGUAGGCUGCUCCAAAAGUCGGAUGUGAAAGCCCUGGGCUCAACCUAGGAAGUGCAUUCGAUACUGUGGAGCUGGAGUCCUGGAGAGGAAGGCGGAAUUCUCGGUGUAGAGGUGAAAUUCGUAGAUAUCGAGAGGAACACCGGUGGCGAAGGCGGCCUUCUGGACAGUGACUGACGCUGAGGCGCGACAGCGUGGGGGAGCAAACAGG
rnacentral:rRNA from 1 species